rnacentral:lncRNA from 1 species
CUAUGAUUCAUAUCCCCAGAUAUUCUCUGGCAUUCUCACUAUAUAGUUUCCUUUUUUUUUUUUUUUUUUUUGUACUGUAUUGCUUUUUUUUUUUUUUUUCCCCCAGAAAGAGAAAAUCUUACUGGAGAAAACCAUGCCAAGCCUGAGAACAUUGAGUACCCAAGGCCAAGCUCAACAAGGGCAGAGAACUUUCCGGCAAGAAAUUAUCCCAUCUGUAACAAGGCCAGUCUCAUGGUCUACAGCUCACAAUUGGCAAGAAGAUAGCCCUCAGUAUUGUUCUAGCUUGUAUGGAAUAGAAUGAACAGAGUGAAAAAUCUCCAGGUUAUGAUACAAUCAAGGCCUUCCCUGUCUUCUUCCAUAAACAUCUGCCUCCCUUGUGACUAGCGGCUAUGGGCUACUCAAUUCUCAUCUCAGAAAUAUCGCAUGUAAUCCCCGGAGAGGAUAAAAAAGAUUAAAUGGACAUUCAAGGACCUGCACAUUUGGUCCCAGCAUCCUCCCAGUUCACCCCGUAGGCCACCCACAUGGACUCAUUGUCCUCAUUUUUGUGUUACAACUUUCGCACAUGCUACUUCCUUUGCCUGGAAAGACUUCUUUCUGAUUCUACUUGCCUGGAAAAGCCCAACCAUCCUUUAAGAAUCAGCUCAAAGGUCACCUCCUCUAUGAAGGCUCUCCUGUAUACUCAGUCAUUCACCCACACAUGCUUAUUGAGUACUGUUGUGCUCUUCAGCCAAGACUACCAUGAACCUGCCAGCAAUGAAACAAGGAGGCUCAGAAACUUCGUAUCUACCAGUGUGGCUGGUAUAGACUUUGGCUGCCAUUCACAGGAUUAUCAAGAAGAUCGAGAUCCCAAAAAGCUAAGGAGCUACUGUCCUGGAAGGGAAGAAAACCCACUCCUGGCUUCAAAAGACAGCCAUUGGCUCUAUAACCCUGGCCAGAGUCCAGACAGGAUUGGGGAGAGGAGGUGGGAAACCUAUCCCCUGAUGGCACAGCAGAGACAGAGGAACUGGGGAUGUACCAGAAUGAUAACGAUCCUGAAAUGGCUCUUAGCUUCUCCAAUCUGCAAAACAGAGAAAGGGGGAAGGAAGAAGAUGAAUUGGUAA